GUCAGAUGAUUUGAAUUGAUAUGCUCAUGCUUUGUGAGGUAUAUCAGUCAAUUGCAUGUUAGAGUUCUGAUGGCA
rnacentral:snoRNA from 13 species